GACGAACGCUGGCGGCGUGCUUAACACAUGCAAGUCGAACGGAAAGGCCCUGCUUUUGUGGGGUGCUCGAGUGGCGAACGGGUGAGUAACACGUGAGUAACCUGCCCCUGACUUUGGGAUAACUUCAGGAAACUGGGGCUAAUACCGGAUAGGAGCUCCUGCUGCUUGGUGGGGGUUGGAAAGUUUCGGCGGUUGGGGAUGGACUCGCGGCUUAUCAGCUUGUUGGUUGGGUAGUGGCUUACCAAGGCUUUGACGGGUAGCCGGCCUGAGAGGGUGACCGGCCAAGCUGGGAUUGAGAUGCGGCCCAGACUCGUACGGGACGCAGCAGUGGGGUAUAGUGCACUAUGGGCGGAAGGCUGGUGCAGCAACGCCGCGUGGGGGGUGACGGCCUUCGGGUUGUAAUGCGCUUUCGCCUGUGACGAGGCGUGAGUGACGGUAAUGGGUAGAGAAGCACCGGCUAACUACGUG
rnacentral:rRNA from 1 species